GGUGUAAGGAUGGUUUGAGGAAUGUUGGACUUUAGCCAAAGAAUUACUUCUAUGUAGGAGAUGGACUAGCAAAAAUGACCCUGAGUUAAAUCUACUGUAGUGUAAGUAGAAAGAUGUCAGGCUCUGAUUUAUACACUGAAGUAUUUAUUCUGUAAUCCUUACAUUAAAUAGAUUUUUAAGGUCAGAAGGGAUCAUUAUGGAUUGUUUGAGAGUAGUUCCUAUUGAAAUCAAUGGAACUACUUGUGGAUUAAAGUAUUACUUAUCCGAGUAAGAAUAGCUGAACUGGGUCUAUGGUCAUAGCACCUAAUAGUAGUGUACUGUCUUGUGUAUUUUAUAUCUGCAUGUGUCCAUUUACUUCCCUGAGCAGACGCUACUGAAGAUGUUUUCAUUCUGGGUGGCCUUGAUUGUUACAUGAGAGAGACAAGAUGGAUGAGGAUCCUUGCAAACAUGAUUUCUCUCUCUCUCUCCAUCUUCCCAGCCCCAAUAAGGCUAUUCCAGAUAACUGAUUUUGUGGAUAAGGGGAAUGCAAUGGAUAUAAUAUACCUGCACUUCAGCAAGUCCCAAAUGACAGUCCCACAUGAUAUUCUGAUCAGUAAGCUGGAGAAAUUCAGGAUUGGUGGAAAUACCAUUGGUGGAUACAUAAUUGGUUAACAACUACAAA